rnacentral:rRNA from 1 species
AUGGCAGCUUUGUUGGAUCUCAUGCUGGUUCGCUCGUCGCCAUCGCCUCGCUUGGUUUUUGCUCCACAGGCGUGCGCCGCGCCGGUGGCCGGGGCGCCCGGGGAAGGAGAGGGAGCAAUGCCGCCGGCCGUUCCGUGCCUCCGCGCCGUCGUGCUGCGGGAGGCGUUGAGGGAGCGGCUCGCCGGCGAAUUGGAGGAGCGGCGCGCCGACGACCACGGCCGCCCCCGCUGCAUCUUCGCGUGGGCCAGUGCGGGAGGAACAGAAAGAGGAAAUGGGCCGGGCCGAGAAGACGGCCCUCAACUCCACCUUCUGCCCAAAGCCCGAGCGCAACCGCCUCAACCAACAGCGCGCGCCUCUCCUCUUCUCCCCGUCGCCGGAGCGCCGCCGACAAGAAACCAAGAAUCAGUGGCGGAGGCAGGGGGUUGCUGGCAGGGGCCAAGGCCCCCCCUAUGCUCUCACAAAUACACCUAUAUGUACUCCUAA